UCUCCUGUGUUCCCUGCAUUUCCCAGUGAUUCCUCAGAUGGCCCGCUACACCCCCUCUGUGCCACUGAGCAGUGUGAUAAGGUGACUAAGCCGAACAGAUGAGGCUUAGAUACAAACCUGAUACGGACCUACAUAGAGCUGUAGUGUCAGAGCUGCCCUCUUUGCCCCAGGUCACACUAAUGCUGCUGUGUUCCCCACCAAAACUCAUACGGAAAUUUCAUCUCCAAUGUGAGGUACUAAAAGUGAGACCGGCAGGAAACUUUAAGAAGCAGCUGGAGCCAAGUAUGUUGGUGCAAACCUGUAAUCCCAGUACUCAGGAAGCUGAGGCAGGAGGAUUGUGGCAAGUUCGAGA